CCUGCGGAAGGAUCAUUACCGAGUGCGGGCCUCGCGGCCCAACCUCCCACCCUUGUCUCUCUACCCCUGUUGCUUUGGCGGGCCCACCGGGGCCACCUGGUCGCCGGGGGACGCACGUCCCCGGACCCGCGCCCGCCGAAGCGCUCUGUGAACCCUGAUGAAGAUGGGCUGUCUGAGUACGAUGAAAAUUGUCAAAACUUUCAACAAUGGAUCUCUUGGUUCCGGCAUCGAUGAAGAACGCAGCGAAAUGCGAUAAGUAAUGUGAAUUGCAGAAUUCCGUGAAUCAUCGAAUCUUUGAACGCACAUUGCGCCCCCUGGCAUUCCGGGGGGCAUGCCUGUCCGAGCGUCAUUUCUGCCCUCAAGCACGGCUUGUGUGUUGGGUGUGGUCCCCCCGGGGACCUGCCCGAAAGGCAGCGGCGACGUCCGUCUGGUCCUCGAGCGUAUGGGGCUCUGUCACUCGCUCGGGAAGGACCUGCGGGGGUUGGUCACCACCAUAUUUUACCACGGUUGACCUCGGAUCAGGUAG
rnacentral:rRNA from 1 species